GGGCACAUGGUGUAGUUGGUUAUCACAUCCGCUUAGCAUAAUCUGUGUACAUACGAUUCAUAGUAGCUCUUGCGGGGGGUGCUGGGUUCAAUUCCCAGUGUGUCCA